rnacentral:rRNA from 1 species
GACGAACGCUGGCGGCGUGCUUAACACAUGCAAGUCGAACGGAAAGGCCCUGCUUGCAGGGUACUCGAGUGGCGAACGGGUGAGUAACACGUGGGUGAUCUGCCCUGCACUUCGGGAUAAGCCUGGGAAACUGGGUCUAAUACCGGAUAGGAGCCAUUUUUAGUGAGAUGGUUGGAAAGUUUUUUCGGUGUAGGAUGAGCUCGCGGCCUAUCAGCUUGUUGGUGGGGUAAUGGCCUACCAAGGCGGCGACGGGUAGCCGGCCUGAGAGGGUGGACGGCCACAUUGGGACUGAGAUACGGCCCAGACUCCUACGGGAGGCAGCAGUGGGGAAUAUUGCACAAUGGGCGCAAGCCUGAUGCAGCGACGCCGCGUGGGGGAGGACGGCCUUCGGGUUGUAAACUCCUUUCGCUAGGGACGAAGCUUUUUGCGACGGUACCUAGAGAAGAAGCACCGGCUAACUACGUG